UACUAAGAACUUUCCAGAGAUGGAUUGGUGCCUUUCGGGAACUUUAGAUACAGGUGCUGCAUGGCUGUCGUCAGCUCGUGUCGUGAGAUGUUGGGUUAAGUCCCGCAACGAGCGCAACCCUUUUUCCUUAUUUGCCAGCGGGUCAUGCCGGGAACUUUAAGGAUACUGCCAGUGACAAACUGGAGGAAGGCGGGGACGACGUCAAGUCAUCAUGGCCCUUACGGCCAGGGCUACACACGUGCUACAAUGGUCGGUACAAAGGGUUGCUACCUCGCGAGAGGAUGCUAAUCUCAAAAAGCCGAUCGUAGUCCGGAUCGCAGUCUGCAACUCGACUGCGUGAAGUCGGAAUCGCUAGUAAUCGCGGAUCAGAAUGCCGCGGUGAAUACGUUCCCGGGCCUUGUACACACCGCCCGUCACACCAUGGGAGUUUGUUGCACCAGAAGUAGGUAGUCUAACCGCAAGGAGGACGCUUACCACGGUGUGGCCGAUGACUGGGGUGAAGUCGUAACAAGGUAAGCGUAGAUGA
rnacentral:rRNA from 1 species